rnacentral:rRNA from 1 species
UACGUAGGACCCAAGCGUUAUCCGGAGUGACUGGGCGUAAAGAGUUGCGUAGGUGGUCGGUAAAGUGAAUAGUGAAACCUGGUGGCUCAACCAUUCAGACUAUUAUUCAAACUCACCGACUCGAGAGUAGCAGAGGUAACUGGAAUUUCUAGUGUAGGAGUGAAAUCCGUAGAUAUUAGAAGGAACACCAAUGGCGUAGGCAGGUUACUGGGCUAUUUCUGACACUGAGGCACGAAAGCGUGGGGAGCGAACCGG